UAAAGUGCUGACAGUGCAGGU
rnacentral:miRNA from 1 species